AAAAAAAAAAAAAAAGGCAUACCUGUAGUUCUAGAUCUCAGAAAUUAGAUAAGUGCAGAGAGGAUACAAUCAAGUCAGGUUUUUCAGAUCUUCUUUUUCUUCUUCUUCUUUCUCUUUUUUUCCAGUUUGCAUUCUGUGAUUGCGCGUGGAUGGCCUUCAUGAGGUGCGUUCCCCGGGCCUAGGUGCACUGGGGUGCGCCUCCUUGAGGUCGUGUGGCUUUGGGUUCCUCAGGCACUAUGGGC
rnacentral:misc_RNA from 1 species